rnacentral:rRNA from 1 species
CCUACGGGUGGCAGCAGUGAGGAAUAUUGGUCAAUGGGCGAGAGCCUGAACCAGCCAAGUCGCGUGAAGGAUGAAGGAUCUAUGGUUUGUAAACUUCUUUUAUAUGGGAAUAAAGUGAGGAACGUGUGCCUUUUUGUAUGUACCAUAUGAAUAAGCAUCGGCUAACUCCGUGCCAGCAGCCGCGGUAAUACGGAGGAUGCGAGCGUUAUCCGGAUUUAUUGGGUUUAAAGGGUGCGUAGGUGGGUAAUUAAGUCAGCGGUGAAAGUUUGUGGCUCAACCCUAAAAUUGCCGUUGAAACUGGUUGCCUUGAGUAUAUUUGAGGUAGGCGGAAUGCGUGGUGUAGCGGUGAAAUGCAUCGAUAUCACGCAGAACUCCGAUUGCGAAGGCAGCUUACUAAACUAUAACUGACACUGACGCACGACAGCGUGGGUAUCAAACAGGAUUAGAUACCCGGGUAGUC